rnacentral:rRNA from 1 species
UACAGAGGUCUCAAGCGUUGUUCGGAUUCAUUGGGCGUAAAGGGUGCGUAGGCGGCGCGGUAAGUCGGGUGUGAAAUCUCGGAGCUUAACUCCGAAACUGCAUUCGAUACUGCCGUGCUUGAGGACGGGAGAGGAGACUGGAAUUUACGGUGUAGCGGUGAGAUGCGUAGAUAUCGUAAGGAAGACCAGUGGCGAAGGCGGGUCUCUGGACAGUUCCUGACGCUGAGGCACGAAGGUCAGGGGAGCAAACGGG